UCCUACGGGAGGCAGCAGUGGGGAAUAUUGCACAAUGGGCGAAAGCCUGAUGCAGCAACGCCGCGUGAGCGAUGAAGGCCUUCGGGUCGUAAAGCUCUGUCCUCAAGGAAGAUAAUGACGGUACUUGAGGAGGAAGCCCCGGCUAACUACGUGCCAGCAGCCGCGGUAAUACGUAGGGGGCUAGCGUUAUCCGGAAUUACUGGGCGUAAAGGGUGCGUAGGCGGUCUUUCAAGCCAGAAGUGAAAGGCUACGGCUCAACCGUAGUAAGCUUUUGGAACUGUAGGACUUGAGUGCAGGAGAGGAGAGUGGAAUUCCUAGUGUAGCGGUGAAAUGCGUAGAUAUUAGGAGGAACACCAGUAGCGAAGGCGGCUCUCUGGACUGUAACUGACGCUGAGGCACGAAAGCGUGGGGAGCAAACAGGAUUAGAUACCCUGGUAGUCC
rnacentral:rRNA from 1 species